rnacentral:tRNA from 1 species
AGGAGUCAAAGAGAGAGCUGCUAACUAUCUCAGAGCAAGUAAUUGUUGGACACC